CCUCCCAAGAGUGAACUGCGUGAACUGAUCUGGACCCUUGAUUUUGUAGAUGAUAGAUCUUAGAUCAAUGGCACAAUUGUAAUUAAAUGUAUAAUAAAUUUAAUUUAAAUUUUAAUCUAAAGGGUAAAAUAGGAAACUUUCAUAUUAAACAUAUGGAAACUAAUCAAUACGUUUGUCAUUUGUAAUCCCCUAAAAGUCUCUGUAUCAGUUUCAAAGAUAAACACUAUAUAAAAAAAAUCCCCUAAUGAAAUCACAAAGACAGGACAUGUGUUCGACGAUGAUCCAGUUAGUUUUCCGGUGAUAAUAUUUGAAUGAUCCGGCUGGUUGUUAAGGUUCGGGGUUAAUAUCUUCGGUCUGCGGAGGUGAGUUCAGCACCAGAUGAACGGCGGAAAUGGCGUCAUGGUGUUCAGAUCUGGCGAUGGUCUUCAGAUCUACCGGUGGCGGUUAUGAUGGUUUUGACUUUUGAAGAAGACAUGACGACAACAAGGUGGUUCAAAGCUUAGCCAGAGUUCUUCCUGCAGCGGCAAUCAUCGAUUCAUCGAUCUGGUUUUUGUUUAGGUUGAAAGAAGAACAAAAAUUGAAUGGAUAAAAGACAAAUGGUUAUUAUUUACAAAAUUUGAGCUUUCGAGAUUUUUUUUUCAAAUGGCUAUUCAUACUUCCGGUGGCUUAUUGAAGGCAAAUGGUGUUCCUAACAGAGUCCGGAAUAGGUCUAAUGUACUUUCAAAUAAAAAAUUUUCAACAUAAUGUGUGGAUGGGAGAUGCGAUUAUCAACUGCUUUGCUUCGAUGCUUAAUUAUGAAGAGGCUAGUAGAACAAAGGGAACAAGUCUGCGGCUUUUCUGACACACAAUUUGUUUUAUUGAAGAUGUGUUUGACCCGGUUAAGGAAAAAGUAUGAUGUGAAGAUUGUGUGCUCCCAUGCUAACAUGCUCCACAAUUAAGUAAUGCUGAAACGGUUACAUACAACGUGGGGAAUAGGCUUAAUAUUUAAAACGCUCGAUGUAGACAAUAAUAUGUUUAUGACUAUGUUUUUUUUAUUUUAACCAUAUGUGGUUACGUGGUUAGGUUGGUUUUUGUUUUUUAUGAUGAAAACUGGAUGUUUG